rnacentral:piRNA from 1 species
GUCUUGUACAUGUACCAGCUCCUAGAUGA